rnacentral:rRNA from 1 species
AGUUCGGAUUGUAGUCUGCAACCCGACUACAUGAAGCUGGAAUCGCUAGUAAUCGCGAAUCAGAAUGUCGCGGUGAAUACGUUCCCGGGUCUUGUACACACCGCCCGUCGCACCAUGGGAGUCGGAAAUGCCCGAAGUCAGUGACCCAACCGUAAGGAGGGAGCUGCCGAAGGUGGAGCCGGUAACUGGGGUGAAGUCGUAACAAGGUAAC